ensembl:snoRNA Gm22871 predicted gene, 22871
UGCUGGUGAUGAAGCUGCCUCACUCCGAGCACUGGGCCUUGCCUGGGGUAAGCCAGGCA